AGGUAAUUAAGUACUUGUAAGCUAAAUCGAGCAGGCAAUGAAGUACCAUUUUUAGCAUUUUGUUCUUGAUGUUGAAGACAAAUGACAUCUUAUUUCGGUCUCCAUGUUUCCUUGUUCAGUUUAUGAGCUGUUAAUGGUGUUUUCUGGUGUUCAGUUGAGAGAUGCCCUCUGAGAUGGAUAAUCAACUGCUGAGCCUUCUCAUACCAUCGUCUUUUUGGACGUGGAGAAUGUCAGUUCACUGUAGAGUAGCUUGGCUGGUGAUAAUGGUAAUAAUAUGGGAUCAUGGCAUGUAACUCAUAUUUGCAAGAUUAAUUGCUAAUGGUCAUGAGGUCUGCUGUUCAUUUUCUCCAAAAUGUCGUCUCUUGGUUUAUGUUGCACGUUUCGUCACAUUCAGUACUUAAGAUUAAUGGAGUCUGAAAGCUUCUUUAUUGCUUUACGUGUACGUGGUGAUUGCUGUUUAAUGAAGGUUCUCUAAGAGGGUCUCUACUACAUUGAAAGACAAUAUAGUGAUGGAAAUAGGAAAUCUAAAUGAAAGAGUAAUAAUGUUCCCAUGGUCAGUUUGAUGUUUGAGCUGGUUCGUUGUGGCUGUUUGGUGUGCAGUGAUCUUGCAGGAGAAAUGCGUUAAAAAGGGACAAAGUGCCGCAACAAGUUGGCAACAUGGCAAUCUUAUCACCGAGCCUGACGCCGUCUGCUAUGGAAACUGUCAGUCACGUUUUUCGUGAUUAUUGCGGUCAGCUUCAACAUUCUUCUUCACAAAUGUCUCAAAGGAUUAAUGGUUUGGUGAGGCUGAGCCUUUUAAUGGUGGUCAAAAGUCCACAUGGACUUGUUGCAGCCAACUGGUGAAGGGUGUGGGGAAGCCCUGCAUGCCAUCUGUGGUGUUGGUCUGAAAUGUUUUCAUUGCUUCAACUAGUUUCCAUCGUCAAUAAGAAGCUAGAAAGUGUGUUGCUCUUUGGUGUGCAGUUCAUGUUUGGGUGGUUGUGUUGCAGCCAGCUGGUGAGAGGGAGUUCAAGUUGAGUUGAGCUGAAGGUUAAUGAACCAGUCGAUAAUGCUGGUGUUUAAAGUUGAAUAUCAAUGAAGACAUCUUGAAAUGGAGUUGGUGACAAUGUGAUAUUCAAUCUGCUGCAUGCAGUUUUUGUCAUCAAUAAGUGGAGCAGUAAGACUAGAAGCAAAGCUGCAAGAAAAGGAAAUGGUCUUGGAGGAAAUGUGCAGUUCGCAGUCUGACUCCUGUUCAAGAAGCUCCUAUCCUGGAUUGUGCUGGAAUCUGAAGUAGCUGAUCCUGAAGGUGUUUUGUUGGAGUUUUCUUGAAGAAGCUGAUGUUGGUGUUAUCUACUUACUGUGCCAGUGCAACGUGUCGAUAAAAAUAUUAUAGCCAUGUAACAUGUGAUUGUAGUAACCUUAAGCUAUUUUGUUUUCUAAUGUGGCUUUUUGCAAACUGAUGUUGGGUUAUAAGUUGUGUUUCCUGAUUUUUCCCGCACCCCAUAUAUUUUUUAAAUAACUCUUGGGGUGUUGAAGCUAACUUGCAACAUUUCGUUGUGCCAUUGAAAUUUACUUUUGACACUUAUAUGUGAAAUGUUGAAAUAAAUAAAAACAACAAAUUUUAUGAAA
rnacentral:lncRNA from 1 species